AUCCUAAAGUUAGGUUCUCUGGGGUUCAUAAGCAUGAUGAUGGGGUGUUCACACUUACUGUGUGAAAGUGCUUUCCUCUGAACUUCAUUAUGGUAAUGUUGGCACAUAACCCAGCAGAUG
rnacentral:snoRNA from 1 species